rnacentral:rRNA from 1 species
GCGUAGGUGGUGGUUUAAGUCUGUUGUGAAAGCCCUGGGCUCAACCUGGGAAUUGCAGUGGAUACUGGGUCACUAGAGUGUGGUAGAGGGUAGUGGAAUUCCCGGUGUAGCAGUGAAAUGCGUAGAGAUCGGGAGGAACAUCCRUGGCGAAGGCAGCUACCUGGACCAACACUGACACUGAGGCACGAAAGCGUGGGGAGCAAACAGGAUUAGAUACCCUGGUAGUCCACGCCCUAAACGAUGCGAACUGG